rnacentral:rRNA from 1 species
GAUGAACGCUGGCGGCGUGCCUAAUACAUGCAAGUCGAGCGAACAGACGAGGAGCUUGCUCCUCUGACGUUAGCGGCGGACGGGUGAGUAACACGUGGAUAACCUACCUAUAAGACUGGGAUAACUUCGGGAAACCGGAGCUAAUACCGGAUAAUAUAUUGAACCGCAUGGUUCAAUAGUGAAAGACGGUUUUGCUGUCACUUAUAGAUGGAUCCGCGCCGCAUUAGCUAGUUGGUAAGGUAACGGCUUACCAAGGCAACGAUGCGUAGCCGACCUGAGAGGGUGAUCGGCCACACUGGAACUGAGACACGGUCCAGACUCCUACGGGAGGCAGCAGUAGGGAAUCUUCCGCAAUGGGCGAAAGCCUGACGGAGCAACGCCGCGUGAGUGAUGAAGGUCUUUGGAUCGUAAAACUCUGUUAUUAGGGAAGAACAAAUGUGUAAGUAACUAUGCACGUCUUGACGGUACCUAAUCAGAAAGCCACGGCUAACUGCGUG